rnacentral:snRNA from 1 species
UUACCACUCUGGCCUUUUGGCUUAGAUCAAGUGUAGUAUCUGUUCUUAAUAGUUUGACCACUAUUAUGAGGGCAAUGCCUUCAUCAUUGGUUAUCUAAUUUUUGUUGCCCCAUACGUGAUCCUCUGCUUGCACGACCUGGUUUCGAUGACUCUGCCACUGCACUAUUGGCUUAGGUUGUCUGGGGUUU